GCUUCCUACGGGAGGCAGCAGUGGGGAAUAUUGCACAAUGGGCGAAAGCCUGAUGCAGCGACGCCGCGUGAGGGAUGACGGCCUUCGGGUUGUAAACCUCUUUCAGCAGGGACGAAGCGGAAGUGACGGUACCUGCAGAAGAAGCGCCGGCCAACUACGUGCCAGCAGCCGCGGUAAGACGUAGGGCGCGAGCGUUGUCCGGAUUUAUUGGGCGUAAAGAGCUCGUAGGCGGCUCGUUGCGUCAACCGUGAAAACCCGGGGCUAAGC
rnacentral:rRNA from 1 species